GUGGAAGAGAAAGGAGAGACCGGCUUAUCC
rnacentral:piRNA from 1 species